GAUGAACGCUGGCGGCGUGCCUAAUACAUGCAAGUCGAGCGAACAGACGAGGAGCUUGCUCCUCUGACGUUAGCGGCGGACGGGUGAGUAACACGUGGAUAACCUACCUAUAAGACUGGGAUAACUUCGGGAAACCGGAGCUAAUACCGGAUAAUAUAUUGAACCGCAUGGUUCAAUAAUGAAAGACGGUUUUGCUGUCACUUAUAGAUGGAUCCGCGCCGCAUUAGCUAGUUGGUAAGGUAACGGCUUACCAAGGCGACGAUGCGUAGCCGACCUGAGAGGGUGAUCGGCCACACUGGAACUGAGACACGGUCCAGACUCCUACGGGAGGCAGCAGUAGGGAAUCUUCCGCAAUGGGCGAAAGCCUGACGGAGCAACGCCGCGUGAGUGAUGAAGGUCUUCGGAUCGUAAAACUCUGUUAUUAGGGAAGAACAAAUUUGUAAGUAACUAUGCACGUCUUGACGGUACCUAAUCAGAAAGCCACGGCUAACUACGUG
rnacentral:rRNA from 1 species